GACGAACGCUGGCGGCGUGCUUAACACAUGCAAGUCGAACGGUAAGGCCCUUCGGGGUACACGAGUGGCGAACGGGUGAGUAACACGUGGGUGAUCUGCCCUGCACUUCGGGAUAAGCCUGGGAAACUGGGUCUAAUACCGGAUAGGACCCUGGGAUGCAUGUCCUGGGGUGGAAAGCUUUUGCGGUGUGGGAUGGGCCCGCGGCCUAUCAGCUUGUUGGUGGGGUGAUGGCCUACCAAGGCGGCGACGGGUAGCCGGCCUGAGAGGGUGACCGGCCACACUGGGACUGAGAUACGGCCCAGACUCCUACGGGAGGCAGCAGUGGGGAAUAUUGCACAAUGGGCGCAAGCCUGAUGCAGCGACGCCGCGUGAGGGAUGGCGGCCUUCGGGUUGUAAACCUCUUUCAGCACCGACGAAGCGCAAGUGACGGUAGGUGCAGAAGAAGGACCGGCCAACUACGUGCCAGCCGCCGCGGUAA
rnacentral:rRNA from 1 species